rnacentral:tRNA from 1 species
GGUUCUGUAGUACAAUGGAUAGUAUAAGAGUUUCCGAAGCUCCAGAUCCAGGUUCGAUUCCUGGCAGAACCACUA